CAAUAGCGUAUAUUAAAGUUGUUGCAGUUAGAACGCUCGUAGUCGGAUUUCGGGGCGGGCCGACCGGUCUGCCGAUGGGUAUGCACUGGUCGGCGCGUCCUUCCUUCCGGAGACCGUCCCUACUCUUAACUGAGCGGGGGCGGGAGACGGGACUUUUACUUUGAAAAAAUCAGAGUGUUUCAAGCAGGCAACUCGCUCUUGCAUGGAUUAGCAUGGGAUAAUGAAAUAGGACUUUGGUGCUAUUUUGUUGGUUUCGAACACCGAAGUAAUGAUGAGAAGGGACAGUCAGGGGCACUCGUAUUCCGCCGAGAGAGGUGAAAUUCUCAGACCAGCGGAAGACGAACCACUGCGAAAGCAUUUGCCAGGGAUGUUUUCACUGA
rnacentral:rRNA from 1 species